GGGCGAUUAGCUCAGUUGGUUAGAGCGCGACACUGAUAAUGUCGAGGUCGGAAGUUCAAGUCUUCCAUCGCCCACCA
rnacentral:tRNA from 3 species